CCAAUCUCCCACCGCCGGCGCCCCACUCAUUCACCAACACGGCGCAACACUAUGCCUCCGCGGCGCACCGCCCCCGACCCACGUUGUUGCGUACAGUGACCGAGGCCACGGAUCCAUGGAUCCCCGCACCGGAUCCGGGUUCUUCCCUCCUACAUCAUCCUCUUCUCGCACGGAUCGGCGAGUUUGAGCCAUGCCACCCCCGUCGUGGUCCUCCCUACCUCCCCUCCUUCCCUGCUACACCAACAGUAAAUGGAGAUCUAUGGCGCCGAGAACCAAGGUGUAGUGCAACACCAGUCGACGCAGCACGGCGGGCUCUGCUGCAUCGUGGGCGAGAUCCACCAUGUCCUGCCGACGAGCUUCCCUCCACCCCUUGUAGUACGACCAAUGACGGCAUGCAGUGCGGCCAACGACGACCUGCGGUAGCAGCCAAUGAUGGCGUGCAGUGUCGCCACCAGCAGCACCUCAGGCGUGGGGGCCGCGCCUGGACCCGCCACACCUUGCUCCUUGAGUCUGCCAGAGACGCGAAAGGAGCAGCUCCUCCGCCAACGGUCGCAGCCUCCAACCUCCUCUCCUUCAAACUGGCUGACCCCCCUUCUCCACCUACUUUGUCUGCUUGCCGGUCAGCCGGUCUCCAACUUGCAGAGAUGCGCAUGACAGCUCUCUCUCUCUCUCCCUUUUGAAGUGCACAUGGGCACCCUUUUGAAGUGUAUACGGGCGAUGCUACGGUAGACCUCCAAAAACUGGCGUGCAGUUCGGCAUCGAGUGCCAUGGGGUUUGGCUUUACGUGUCCGACACGUGUUAUUCUCCCCUGCUAUACUCCCUAGCCCUGAGCACAACGCAGUGUGCUCGCGAUUUCUGUUCCACUGAGAUGCAGUACAGUUCAGUGCUUAGUGCAGUUUCAGUGCUCAGCUCAUUCGUGAGGUUUGAGGGGGAUUUCUCUUUUUCACAGAUGAUUUGUGUUGUUUUUUAGGCACAUGUGUAUGAUUUUGUUUAAAAGCAGUUCGUUAAACAUUGUGUGACGGUUUAUUUUUCUCAACCAUGUUGUUCGCUUUC